GCGCUGCUGGUGUAAUGUUAUCAUGCAAGAUUCCCGUUCUUGAGACCCGGGUUCGAUUCCCGCGCGGCGCA